GGAUGUGAGGGCGAUCUGGCUGUGACAUCUGUCACCCCAUUGAUCGCCAGGGUUGAUUCAGCUGAUCUGGCUGGCUAGGCGGGUGUCCCCUUCCUCCCUCACCGCUCCAUGUGCAUUCCUCCCAAAGCUGCACGCUAGAUGGAAGAGGACGACCAUCCCAGAUAGAAGGAGUGUAUAAGAAAAAUCCUUUGCUGCAACUUCUAUGAAGAAAGCAAUAUAUAUAAUUACCUUUCUUGUGCAACUUGAUUCAAAAAGAUCCCUUCAGUUUUUCUUUAAUGUAAACCAGGGGUCCCCAACCUCCAGUCCAUGGAUCAGCAUGGGCUGUGGCAU
rnacentral:snRNA from 1 species